rnacentral:lncRNA from 1 species
UAUAUACAUAAUGAGGAAAUUGUAGUUGAAAUUUUUCCAUUAUAAUAUUUUAAUUCACCAGUCUUUUCAUUUGCCUAUAGUUAAAUAAUACUCUAACCUGAUACCUUGCUCAAAAAAGAAACCUAAUAUACAUUUUCAUAAAAUGCAUAUAAUAAUUUUAACUAGUUAUGCAGCUUAGCAUGCCUCUAUCUUUAUGGUUGCUAUUUAUUUUCGUAUCUUGGUUCAUCUCUGUCAUUUGAGUUUUUUGAGUUCUAAUCCAUAUAUUUCCUUUAAUCACUGCCAGAACCACAAAUUUCCACUGGAAUGGAUCCACAUUAAUUAGUUCUAUCUGCUUUUACCCACUGUAUUUCUUUUAUCUGCAAACCCUUCUUACAUUUCUGGCUUAAAUGCAAUUUGCUCAUCAGCAUUAAACACACCAUUCACCAUGCUACACUCAAAACACAAAAUUGCAGGAUUAUUCAGAGAAAACAAGCACUUGACUCCUUUUCAAAACUGUCCUCAAUUAUUUCUCAAUUCAAAAGAGAAAAUUGAAGUCACACUUCUGUUACUAUAACACGGAAGCAGAAUUUCAGAGAAGCCACAAGACUUGAGUCAAUCACAAUUACUUCUGUGAUAUGAAUAAGCUUUAAAUAAAAAGCCUCAACACUUCAAGUACAUGCUUCAAUUAAGAAUUGAGGGUUAAAUUUACUCUAUGGGAUAAGAGAGACCCAAUUUAGUAACUUAGGUAUAGCCAAAGGCAAAAUAUAAGGUAAUUUAUCCUUUAAUACUUCAACAUAUAUUUUGAGUCUUGAAAAUUAUCAAUUACUAUAUAAGCAUAGUGAUCAAAAUUGUAGCUAUUCUAGGAUUUUCAUAUAAGCACCAAUGUGAAUUAGUUAAGAUUAUCCAAGUUUCUCACAGGGAGGGAAUACUAGUUGAAGUUCCAUCCGUAAUUAAUCUUUCUAUUGCAACUUCAAAUAUACACAAUAAUCACUGAGUAGAUUUAAAUUAAGAAUCCUCCCUGUUAAUAACUUUUACUAGUAUGUUUUCUAAGUCCAAUCCCUUGUAUAAUGUCAAAACUUACCUGUAUUCCCUUUCUUUUUAAAUUGAUAGCUAUUUUUUUUGAACUCUAAGUAUUUUGCCCCUGCUUGUUAUAGAAGUGUUUAUUUUCCUCUGAAUUGCAAAAUUUUCUCUCUCUUGCCUACUUAAGAUAAUUCUGAUUUUUCCCUAUUAGUUUAUUCCUCAUCUAUUCCUCUUAGGUGAGUUAUGCUUUACUAGACAGUUUUCGUAUGUGCUGCUAAUGUACUGUCUGGAGAAAAGGAAGGCACAGACACUAAAGAGUGUGGAGCUAAGACUGGGAGAAGUAAGUUUAUAGGAAGUUUGCAGGAGGAGGCCUUGUGAUGAAAUUGGACAGCUCUGCUUCAUGAAGUUAUUUAGAGUGUAGAUCCGAUUUCUCCAUCUCUUUGCCCACAGUUCUUGCAGAGUAUGGGUUUUGUUCAUUGUAUCAAAAGAGCUGACCACUAACACAUUUGGCUUCAGAUGUUGGGCUGAGAGAAAAAGGCAAGGAAAGGUGUACAAGUUUAUCCUGCAGAUAUAGCACAGAAGUUGCACAUACCAUUUCUGUUCACAUUUUAUUUGACAAAAAUUAGUUAUAUGGUUAUUUUGAGCUUCAAGGUUUUCUGGCUUUCUGGUGCCACUAAAACUUGAGUUGAUAGUUUCCAUUACUAAAAUAAAAAUGGGGAGAACAGAUAUUUGAAGACAACUAACAUCAUUUGCUAAAAAAAGAAAAAAAAUCCCCUGAGCUUUUCCACUCACCAAAACAUAACAUCUUGGUCAGAAGCAUUACAUUGACCUAGCUAAGAGAGAAUUAAGUAAGUAGUAUCAGCCCUUCAUAAUGUCAUUCUUGAUAUUGUCCAGCAGGGAUAUUCAGAGGUAAAAUUAUUAGGGGAAAAUAAAUGUAUACCAUUGAACUUUUGUUCCCCCCAUUUAGAGUAUUUAUUUUAAUUCCAGUUAAUAUACAAUAUAAUAUUAAUUUCAUGUUAAUCUGUUUGAAUCUUCAUGCUUCUUAGUGAUUGCAUUUACAAAUUUAUUCUAUGUUUGAAUUUGUUUCAGUAAAAAAAAAAAAGAAAAGAUAGUUUAAAUGAAGAGUUAUUUAUUUUACCAUUAAGUUUUGGUGUAAUUUAAAAAAU